UCUAUAUUGUUCCGAUUUAAUCCAUCAAAGAAUUGAUUGACAAAUUAAAACGAAGAAUUUAGAUACGUAAGUUUUUAUUAAUUAGACGAUACAAAGUGAAAUAUCUGAAUGAUAAGAUACAAUCUAUCGACAGUAUUGAUAAAUAAACUAUUGAUUUCAUCGAUGAUGAAAUGUUUCGAGAAUGUUAGUGCCAUUUUCUACAAGUUUUAAAACAAUUCCUUUAAAACAAUUAAUCAAAUCAAAUCAAAUAUUUAAAUUAACUAAAAUUAGACGAAUCUACCGAUAUAUCGUUUCGAUGUUCAACGAUUCAAUGCAUCUUUGAAAAAAUAUCCUUGAAACUUAUAUACAUCUUAACAUCAUACGUGUUGAAAAUCUCGAAAAAUUUCUCAAGCGUAUGAACAGAGCUUAAAUAACGAUCUCGAUAAACUCGUUCUCCCUUUUUCAUCAUUUCCAACUCAUCGACAUUUCCCCCUGUCCAAAUUCUCUCGUCCUUAACAUUUAAUCCAUCCAUACAUGGAAAAUUGAAACGAGGACAACUCGGAACUACGAACUUUUAACCACGAUUCGGACAGGACAAGUUCCAAGUUCGAGUUAAAUAAUUAUCUUCGAAUCGUUUAGAGAAUCGUAUCUUGGUCGAACAUUGACUCGAUUCAAUAUUCAAAGCGAUCGUUGAAACGCGUGCUCGAUAUCGCGGUAAUACCCGGGGAGUGUGAACAAAGCCUAAACGGGUUGGGGCAAACGCGUCAGGCGGGCGGACAGGCGGGUAGACAGGCAGACAGACAGAAGCUGGAGCACCUGUCUGUCCCUCCACUCUUCUUGCACGGCAAAGAGGGGCCGGCAGUGGAUACCUCGUGCCGUGGUUCAGUACCUCGUGCACGCUCACGCUGAUAAGACCUUAUUCUAAUCACACGUCACCUGGUAUCGAUAGUCGUGCGCGGAUCUAUUACGUGAUUUCUCACGCCCCGUUACGACCUAAUUCCUUCGUGGUCCUUCGACCGAUCUCCAAUAUCCGCACGCGUUUCUCCUUGUCCUCUCUCUCUCUCUCUCUAUCUCUCUUUCUCUUCCUCCUCUUUCCUUCUCUUCCCUUUCUCUUUCUCUCUCUCUGUCCCCCUUCUAUCCCACUCCGUUUCGCGUGCAUCAUACCCACACUGGUGGUCCUCCACCUCGAUGCAGAGGAUCGCACAGCCCGAUCCAGGAAUUUUUCCGGAUCGGUCAAUCGAACGUUCAGUGGUCGGCUCGCCUCCCCUAGCUCGCUUCUUGCUCCUUCGAAUGCGUAAUACGUAAUUAUCUCGAGGCUCUCCCUCCCUCCCUCCUUCCCUCUCCCCCCCUCCCACCCCCUUGUCCCGAUAGUCACGUACGAUAGGUACGUACGUAUCACGGGGUUGGGUCGGGUUGGCGGUUGCACAAGCGGAAGAAGGAGGAAAAGGAGGCACGGGAUGCACCGUGGAGGAGAUGUAUUCACGUCCCACACCGGCUCGAUAUCGAAUUCGAUGCAGGGCAGAGAGUUGCGCAGCAGCGAAGGUGGGAUCCGAGGUGCCGAGCCGAUUUCUCAAUUCCUCGUACUCGUGGAUUCGUACUGGUGGAUUCGUACCGGGAUCGCGGCACUGCGUGUUUCCGCGGCGGCGAAUGGAUUGGGAAUCGAUUCUGCUCCCUGUAUCGUUUAGUCUGCUUCCGACGUUCGAGUACUAAAGUCGUUGUUGCCGCUCUCGUCGGUCGCGCCGCGUAAAUACGAUCGGCCACGUGUUCGCCGCGUUCGCUCUUCACUCGUGCCCCUCCUCCCCCCUCCCCCCGCCCCGCCCCUCCCGCCCCGUCCCCCCUCCGUCCCGUACCCGUGCGAGGAGAGAGAGAGAGAGAACAUUCGAUCGUCGAUUAGAAACGAACGUGGUGGCGCGAUUCGCUACGCCCGUUUUUCUCGCUUUAUCGUCCACCACGUGCAAAUGCCGGUGGACGUCAUCGAGGAAGGCUGUUGCACCCGUCGUCCAUCGAAGGUCGGAUAUCGACGAUCUUACGUACGCCGGCACGGUGGAGAAAUUAGGUGAACCGCUCGAGCGAGAAUUUUUUUUCCCCUCCAUUGUAACAAUGUAAGAAGGCAAGUGGCGCGGGGAUCGUGUAAGUUCACGUGUAUCGUUGGAGGAAAGGAAUCGUUGGUCCGCGGCGAAGAAUUUCUGGUGUUACGUAACGGAGAAAUAGAACGAACGAUAGAUCAACGCGUGUUGAUCGGGUGACGACGUUUUCUUUUUUUUCUCUUUUCUUUUCUUUUCUUUUUUUUUUGUCUCCCUUUCCUCCCCUCGUUCGAUAAGGGAAUCGACCACGUGUCGAUUCGUUUUAUAAUUCGUGAUUUAUAAGUGCGAUGUUUAUUAUAAGUUGGACUCGAUAAAUAUACGAGUUCCGCGAAAAGAAUCUUCCAGUGAAAGCGAGAUCAGCGCUAAGUGUUUGUGAAAUCGUGAAACUGCGAAACCAACCACGUGUGUGACAUCUAUUACCAAGGUGAAUCGUAAAAUCGUAAAACCGUGCCUUUUGUUUCUUGUUCUGGUGAGGAGCGAGGCGACGAUUUCUCGACACGCGAAGCGCGGGUUUUCGUAGGAAUCCUCGUUUCAUCGAUCUCCACAGAGGGAGACCCAGUUACGCCUCCUGUUGAAUGCAAUUUAUCGGAUUAAAGGGGAGCUCCACAUGAAAUUGCCAUCAGCCACCAGGGAAUGUUAACACGGUGUAAGAAGAGGAGAAGGAAGAAGCAGGCAUUCAGGAGAAUUUAUCUCCAACGCGGAACCAACAACACGUGGUGUGCUUGUGCGGUACAUAGACACGCAGCGUGGCCGCACACACGAUAAGGCUGAUUUCGUUGUCCUCGAGGGAAGAAUGAAAAGGAGACGAAGAAGGAGCCGGAGAAAACGA
rnacentral:lncRNA from 1 species